GAAUAGGUUGGCCUCAUGAGCCA
rnacentral:siRNA from 1 species